rnacentral:lncRNA from 1 species
UUUGAGCUGACAUUCUGAGGACCACAGUCCGCGGGGGACAGGUCCGCUGUGACCCGCUCGAUGACUAACCUGCUGCGGUACGGGAUGGGUAAACCUCUUCGACAUCUCUAGUGAUGAUGAUGAUGACAUAAACACAAAGUUUUCCGUCUCUGUUUCGGCGUGAAGGCCCAGAGUUAAUAAUUCGCCUUAUGUUGUAUCUUGGCAUUGAGGAUAUAUACCCUCACUGGACU